rnacentral:lncRNA from 1 species
CCUGCCCAUUCUUUCCCCCACAGGGUAAUUAUUCAUUUUCUUACUGAGUUGUAAGAGUAUAUUUUAUGCCUUAAGGAAAUGAGUUCUUUAUCACGUAUAUUUUCCCAGUUUCCUACUUAGCUUGCCUAAAGGAACCUGCAGGACGGUUACGUCCCGUUUGUCUGUGCUUUUCUUUUUCAAAGGUGACCGCAGGCGAGGACACGCUCAGACGUUUUCCGAAGCGCAUGUGAGCGAUGCAAUAUUGCUUAUCGAAACGUCGGGUAGCAGAUGUCCUCAGCUGCCUUGAAGAGGCAGACAAUGAGCCGUCCAUCACUCAAGAAGCUUCUCCUCGUCCAGAGCUGGCACCUCCUAGGUUUGUUUGGUUAGAUGCAUUGUUCAGGGUUGAUCCGAUUGCAGUCCAAACAACGAGCUCC